rnacentral:rRNA from 1 species
UACGGAGGGUGCAAGCGUUAUCCGGAUUCACUGGGUUUAAAGGGUGCGUAGGUGGGCAAGUAAGUCAGUGGUGAAAUCUCCGGGCUUAACCCGGAAACUGCCAUUGAUACUAUUUGUCUUGAAUACUGUGGAGGUCAGCGGAAUAUGUCAUGUAGCGGUGAAAUGCUUAGAUAUGACAUAGAACACCAAUUGCGAAGGCAGCUGGCUACGCAAAUAUUGACACUGAGGCACGAAAGCGUGGGGAUCAAACAGG